ensembl:miRNA ocu-mir-302b ocu-mir-302b
ACUCCCUUCAACUUUAACAUGGAGGUGCUUUCUGUGACUUUCGUUAGAAAAAGUAAGUGCUUCCAUGUUUUAGUCGAAGU